UUAAAAAUUGAAGGCCAAGCCAUAACACAUGCAAAUUGAAACGGGCAGACACGGGAGCAAUCCUGGUGCGAGUGGCGAUCCGGGUGAGUAAAUAUAUCGAAACGUGCACAAUCGUGGGGGAAAAACAUAGCGAAAAAUUACGUUAAUUCGGCAUACGAUCUAUGGAAGAAAAGCGGGGGAAUCGCAAGACCUUGACACGAAUGGAGCGGCCGAUAUCAGAUUAGGGUAGUUGGUGGGGUAAAGGGCUCACCAAGCGUUCGAUCUGUAGCUGGUCUGAGAGGACGACCAGCCACACUGGGACUGAGUCACGGCCCAGACUCCUACGGGAGGCAGCAGUGGGGAAUUUUGGACAAUGGGCGCAAGCCUGAUCCAGCAAUGCCGCGUGCAGGAUGAAGGCCUUCGGGUUGUAAACUGCUUUUGUACGGAACGAAACGGCGAGCUCUAAUACAGUUUGCUAAUGACGGUACCGUAAGAAUAAGCACCGGCUAACUACGUGCCAGCAGCCGCGGUAAUACGUAGGGUGCGAGCGUUAAUCGGAAUUACUGGGCGUAAAGCGUGCGCAGGCGGUUCUAUAAGACAGAUGUGAAAUCCCCGGGCUCAACCUGGGAAUUGCAUUUGUGACUGUAGGGCUAGAGUACGGUAGAGGGGGAUGGAAUUCCGCGUGUAGCAGUGAAAUGCGUAGAUAUGCGGAGGAACACCGAUGGCGAAGGCAAUCCCCUGGACCUGUACUGACGCUCAUGCACGAAAGCGUGGGGAGCAAACAGGAUUAGAUACCCUGGUAGUCCACGCCCUAAACGAUGUCAACUGGUUGUUGGGUCUUCACUGACUCAGUAACGAAGCUAACGCGUGAAGUGACCGCC
rnacentral:rRNA from 1 species